UGUAUUUUGGAUUUGAAUCUUGAGAGAAAGUUGUCUACAAUAACCGUUGAUAAUUGUUCAACUAAUUGAUGGUUUAAUUAAUCAUGUUUUGUCCAAGCUUAACCGUAAACAUCUUAUAUUUGGUGGGAAGUUUUUUCAUAUGCGUUGUUGUGUUUAUAUCUUGAAUUUGAUAGUGCAAGAUGGGUUAAAAGUUAUGAGGGAUGGAUUGGAAAGAGUUAGAGAUAGUGUUACUUUUUGGUUAUCUUCACCAAAAAGACAACAACUCUUUAAAAUAAGUGCAACACAUUUGGGUAUAGAAUACUCAAAACAGUUAGUUAACGAUUGUAAGACUCGACGGAAUUCUACUUAUUUGAUGCUUUCUGUUGCAUUGCAAUACAAAGAUGUUUUUUACCGUUUGGGACAACAAGAGUCUUCAUUUCUUUGUGCACCAUCAGAACAAGAUUGGGAGUUAGCUGCCAACAUUUGUGAUAAACUGAAAGUGUUUUAUAAAGCAUCAAAUGCAUUUUCUGGUAGAAAAUAUCCAACUUCCAAUGUUUUUUUUCCUAUUGAUGUCCGAGAUUAAGGUUAAUUUGAGCAAUUGGGUUGAGUCAACUGAUUUGGUGAUAGCAAAUAUGUCUAAGAGUAUGAGUGCAAAGUUUGAUAAUACUGGCAAGAGGUGCAUGGAAUUCUAGCUGUAGCUAAUGUUUUUGAUCCAAGAUAUAAGUUAGGAGUUGUUCAAUUCUUCUUUCAAACAUUUUAUGAAGAUAAAGUUGCAUCAGAAAUUGAGAGGGUUAAGAAAUAUUUAUAUGAUUUGUGCCGUGAAUAUGAGUGUUUUUCAACAUCAACACCUGCAAGUAAACGUGUCCAAGUGGAUGAGACCAUGACUCAAGGUGACCCAGUUAGGGAUAAGUUGAAAAACUUUAUGGAAAUUUCUCACACGGGUGUGAGUGAGACAUCGGAGUUGGAUUUGUAUUUAGAGACUAAGAGGUCACCAUUUGACGAUGAUUUGGAUGUUUUAUCAUGGUGGCAAGUUGAAGGGAAGAAAUAUCCAACGUUGAGUAAGGUUGCUAAGGAUGUAAUAGCUAUUCCAGUUUCUACCAUUGCUUCAGAAUCCGCUUUCAGUACUAGUGGUAGAUUGGUGUCGCCUCAUCGUAGUAGACUUCAUCCAAAUAUUGUGGAGGCAUUAAUGUGUUCUCAAAGUUGGUUGCUUGAAAGUAAGAAAUUUUAUUUAAACAAAUUAUUUUUAAUUGAUUAUUCAUUACUUUACGUCUUUACCAUACUAAAAUAAUAUUUGUAGGUGAUAGCACUUUGGAGGAUUAUGAAAUUAAUGAAGAUUUCUUCCUUCCUCAUCAAUUAGAACCAGAUGCUUAGAGGUUAUUGAAGAAGUGUUGAGCAGUGAGGAUCACUACGGCACCACUUGACUAGUUGAAUGUUCAGAACUUGAGAAUUAUUUUAGUAAUUUGAAGUUUAUUUUGUUUUGUUAUGUACUAAUGUACUUAUGUAAUAUGUCUAGACUUUGGACUUUGGACUUUGGAGGAGUUUGAAACAAUUUAAAGUGUUUGAACAUUUUAUGAUUAUUAUUUAUGUUUGAAAA